AACGAACGCUGGCGGCAUGCCUAACACAUGCAAGUCGAACGAGACCUUCGGGUCUAGUGGCGCACGGGUGCGUAACGCGUGGGAACCUGCCCUUAGGUUCGGAAUAACUCCCCGAAAGGGGUGCUAAUACCGGUUAAUGUCUUCGGACCAAAGAUUUAUCGCCUUUGGAUGGGCCCGCGUUGGAUUAGCUAGUUGGUAGGGUAAAAGCCUACCAAGGCGACGAUCCAUAGCUGGUCUGAGAGGAUGAUCAGCCACACUGGGACUGAGACACGGCCCAGACUCCGACGGGAGGCAGCAGUGGGGAAUAUUGGACGAGGGGGGAAAGCCUGAUCCAGCAAUGCCGCGUGAGUGAUGAAGGCCUUAGGGUUGUAAAGCUCUUUUACCCGGGAUGAUAAUGACAGUACCGGGAGAAUAAGCUCCGGCUAACUCCGUG
rnacentral:rRNA from 1 species